UUGCAUAGUCAUAAAAGUGAUG
rnacentral:miRNA from 1 species